rnacentral:lncRNA from 10 species
UAAAUAUUGAAAAGGGAAAGCCUUAGGUGGCUUGCGAAGGCUCUGAUGUAAAUAUGUGUUGCUGAGACGGGGAAGUGAAGGUGUUGGAUUAUGCAUGACUUUCACAUGUGUUCUUAUACCACAUUCAUGCCCCCUCAGGGGUUAAUUUUCAAGUUUUGGGUGAUUUCCCCUCUUUGAGUUGCCAUUUGUUUCUGGUUACAACCCCUGAAAUAACAGCGCUCUCCAGCCAGAGGGAGAUUUGCCCCCCUUCCCCCAUGCAGGAGAUUCUCCUGUGGCGGCUCUGCAGAUCCAGGGAGCCCCACGACCAGACCUGGGAGAAAUUUUGGAAGCUGAGAGCAUCCUCACAGCAGCAGGCAGAACAGACAAGUGGGCCUGGGUCUCACAACCCUAAGGCAUUGAAUUCCACCAUGGAAUCAGAUCACAGCCAGACCUUUCCC